rnacentral:rRNA from 1 species
AGAGUUUGAUCCUGGCUCAGGAUGAACGCUGGCGGCGUGCUUAACACAUGCAAGUCGAGCGAUGAAGUUUCCUUCGGGAAACGGAUUAGCGGCGGACGGGUGAGUAACACGUGGGCAACCUGCCUCAUAGAGGGGAAUUGCCUCCCGAAAGGGAGAUUAAUACCGCAUAAGAUUGUAGCUUCGCAUGAAGUAGCAAUUAAAGGAGUAAUCCGCCAUGAGAUGGGCCCGCGGCGCAUUAGCUAGUUGGUGAGGUAACGGCUCACCAAGGCGACGAUGCGUAGCCGACCUGAGAGGGUGAUCGGCCACAUUGGGACUGAGACACGGCCCAGACUCCUACGGGAGGCAGCAGUGGGGAAUAUUGCACAAUGGGGGAAACCCUGAUGCAGCAACGCCGCGUGAGUGAUGACGGCCUUCGGGUUGUAAAGCUCUGUCUUCAGGGACGAUAAUGACGGUACCUGAGGAGGAAGCCACGGCUAACUACGUGCCAGCAGCCGCGGUAAUACGUAGGUGGCGAGCGUUGUCCGGAUUUACUGGGCGUAAAGGGAGCGUAGGCGGACUUUUAAGUGAGAUGUGAAAUACCCGGGCUCAACUUGGGUGCUGCAUUUCAAACUGGAAGUCUAGAGUGCAGGAGAGGAGAAUGGAAUUCCUAGUGUAGCGGUGAAAUGCGUAGAGAUUAGGAAGAACACCAGUGGCGAAGGCGAUUCUCUGGACUGUAACUGACGCUGAGGCUCGAAAGCGUGGGGAGCAAAUAGGAUUAGAUACCCUGGUAGUCCACGCCGUAAACGAUGUCGACUUGGAGGUUGUGCCCUUGAGGCGUGGCUUCCGGAGCUAACGCGUUAAGUCGACCGCCUGGGGAGUACGGCCGCAAGGUUAAAACUCAAAUGAAUUGACGGGGGCCCGCACAAGCGGUGGAGCAUGUGGUUUAAUUCGAUGCAACGCGAAGAACCUUACCUGGUCUUGACAUCCACGGAAGUUUUCAGAGAUGAGAAUGUGCCUUCGGGAACCGUGAGACAGGUGCUGCAUGGCUGUCGUCAGCUCGUGUUGUGAAAUGUUGGGUUAAGUCCCGCAACGAGCGCAACCCUUAUCCUUUGUUGCCAGCGGUCCGGCCGGGAACUCAAAGGAGACUGCCAGUGAUAAACUGGAGGAAGGUGGGGAUGACGUCAAGUCAUCAUGGCCCUUACGACCAGGGCUACACACGUGCUACAAUGGCGCAUACAAAGAGAAGCGACCUCGCGAGAGCAAGCGGACCUCAUAAAGUGCGUCGUAGUCCGGAUUGGAGUCUGCAACUCGACUCCAUGAAGUCGGAAUCGCUAGUAAUCGUGGAUCAGAAUGCCACGGUGAAUACGUUCCCGGGCCUUGUACUCACCGCCCGUCA